ACGAUACACGUGUAUUCGAGAGAACACUUUUUUUGUUCUGAAUGAAACCCUAUCUAUAUAUCUAAUCUAGUUUGGGCGGCUGCUUCCCCGAGUUCCCAAGAGAAGAAAUAGAGAGACUCAAGAGAAGAGAUGAGGCCUCACAAAGAAAGCGAAAGAGAUUCAAGAGAAGAGAAGAGGCCUCACAAGAGAACAGCCUGAUUAUAGGUUGAAGGUUAUAGGUGGAAGGCAAAGGUUUACAUUUUGGUAUGGGAGGAAUUGGAAAAAAGAAAAGUUUCUCCCGUGUCCUUCGGGGGUUUGCAUCUUUUUUCUCGACAAGAAUAGCCUCCAGUCUCAUGUCAUGUCAGAGACUAUCAUUGCAGGGGUCGUCACAAUCAUCCUUUGCUCCCUGAAGAAUUUGGGUCUCACAACAUAGACGGUCCCUUAUGUCAUAACCCCCGUCCUUAUGUCAUAACAUCAUUUACCGAAAUGUUCUCAUUAUUCAGGUGACUUCUCCAUUUUUUUUGACCCGAAAGCUGAGGUUAAUGUGGAAAUAUUGAGAACUUUUUUCUCCAACUAUGAUGUCGAAGUAUUGUUGACCUUUCUUGACCUUUGGGAGUUCUCAAACAUAAAAUUUAGUUUUUAAUAGUUACAUAUCCGGCAGAUUGUCGAACACACCUCAGGAGAAGAAGUGAUUGUCUGGAAGUAGUGUCAUGGUCGUGUGAGAAACUUAUUAUUAUUAUUUUUUUUUUUUUUGGUUUCAAUGACUUUUUUUGUUCAUGUAAAUGGAAGGUAGUAAAUACUUAGAAGAACUUCUAUUUUGGUUUCGAUGGUUUUUUGGUCAGGUAAAAUGGUAGAAAGUUGAAAUCGAAAUCGUAUUUGGUUA